CACACCGCCCGUCGCUACUACCGAUUGAAUGAUUUAGUGAGGUCUUCGGACUGGUGCGCGGCAAUGUCUCGGCAUUGCCGAUGUUGCCGGGAAGAUGACCAAACUUGAUCAUUUAGAGGAAGUAAAAGUCGUAACAAGGUUUCCGUAGGUGAACCUGCGGAAGGAUCAUUA
rnacentral:rRNA from 1 species